ACUCCGGUUGAUCCUGCCGGACCCGACUGCUAUCGGAUUAGGACUAAGCCAUGCGAGUUGAACGCUCUUUGACUAUGUUAAGAGCGUGGCAAACUGCUCAGUAACACGUUGCCAACCUACCCUAAAGAUAUGAAUAACCCCGGGAAACUGGGAUUAAUGCGUUAUAAGUCAGGAAUCCUGGAAUGGAUCUUGACUAAAAGAAUUGAAGAGCAUGUUCAUCGGUUCGCUCUAGGAUGGGGCCGCGUCCGAUCAGGUUGUUGGUGGGGUAAAGGCCCACCAAGCCUAUAACCGGUACGGGCUUUGAGAGAAGUAGCCCGGAGAUGGACCCUGAGACACAGGUCCAGGCCCUACGGGGCGCAGCAGGCGCGAAAACUUCGCAAUGCGCGCAAGCGUGACGAGGCUAAUCCGAGUGUUACCUGCUGAAGGUAACUUUUGUUAAGUUUAAUUCGCUUAAAGAAAAAAGGGAGGGCAAGCCUGGUGUCAGCCGCCGCGGUAAUACCAGCUCCCUGAGUGGUCGGGGUGUUUAUUGGGCCUAAAGCAUCCGUAGCUUGUUUUAUGAGUCUUUCGUUAAAUCUGACGGCUUAACCGUUAGGCUGCGUAAGAUACCGUAAAACUAGGAGGCGGGAGAGGCUGAUGGUACUCCAAGGGUAGGGGUAAAAUCCACUGAUCCAUGGAAGACCACCAAUGGCGAAGGCGGUCAGCCAGAACGCGCUCGACGGUGAGGGAUGAAAGCUGGGGGAGCGAACCGGAUUAGAUACCCGGGUAGUCCCAGCUGUAAACGAUGCGAGCUAGGUGAUGGAGUGAUUAUGUAUUACUUCAGUGCCACAGGGAAGCCGUUAAGCUCGCCGCCUGGGGAGUACGAUCGCAAGAUUGAAACUUAAAGGAAUUGGCGGGGGAGCACCACAAGGGGUGAAGCCUGCGGUUCAAUUGGAGUCAACGCCGGGAAUCUUACCAGGAGCGACAGCAGGAUGAAAGUCAAGUUGGAGACUUUACUAGACAAGCUGAGAGGUGGUGCAUGGCCGUCGUCAGCUCGUGCCGUGAGGCGUCCUGUUAAGUCAGGCAACGAGCGAGACCCCCACCGUUAAUUGCUUUCAGCGACCGUAGGGUUGCUGGAGAUAUUUAGCGGGACUGCUACCGCUAAGGUGGAGGAAGGAGGGGGCCACGGCAGGUCAGUAUGCCCCGAAACUCCUGGGCUACACGCGGGCUGCAAUGGUAGGUACAAUGAGUUUCGACCUCGAAAGGGGAAGGUAAUCCCGAAAACCUACCCCAGUUGUGACUGAGGGCUGAAACUCGCCCUCACGAAUCUGGAAUCCCUAGUAAUCGCGUGUCAACAUCGCGCGGUGAAUACGUCCCUGCUCCUUGCACACACCGCCCGUCGCUUCACCCGAGUUGGGUUUGGGCGAGGUAACGCCUAAUUGACGUUGUCGAACCUGAGCUCAACAAGGGGGGAGAAGUCGUAACAAGGUGGCCGUAGGGGAACCUGCGGCCGGAUCACCUCCUU
rnacentral:rRNA from 1 species